GCGGUGGUGGUUCAGUGGUAGGAUUCUCGCCUUCCAUGUGGGAGACCCAGGUUCGAUUCCCAUCCAGUGCA
rnacentral:tRNA from 1 species